rnacentral:rRNA from 1 species
ACUCCUACGGGAGGCAGCAGUGAGGAAUAUUGGUCAAUGGGCGGGAGCCUGAACCAGCCAAGUCGCGUGAAGGAAGAAGGAUCUAUGGUUCGUAAACUUCUUUUGCAGGGGAAUAAAGUGCAGGACGUGUCCUGUUUUGUAUGUACCCUGAGAAUAAGGAUCGGCUAACUCCGUGCCAGCAGCCGCGGUAAUACGGAGGAUCCGAGCGUUAUCCGGAUUUAUUGGGUUUAAAGGGUGCGUAGGUGGUUUGAUAAGUCAGCGGUGAAAGUUUGCAGCUUAACUGUAAAAAUGCCGUUGAAACUGUCGGACUUGAGUGUAAAUGAGGUAGGCGGAAUGCGUGGUGUAGCGGUGAAAUGCAUAGAUAUCACGCAGAACUCCGAUUGCGAAGGCAGCUUACUAAGCUACAACUGACACUGAAGCACGAAAGCGUGGGGAUCAAACAGGAUUAGAUACCCUGGUAGUC